UUUCUAGCACAAGAAGCUUGUAUUAGGGCUAACAAUGAGAUCUGGCAAACUUAUCUUGGAGAGGAUCUGAGCACGGAACAAAGAAAAGAAGACAAUCAGACGGAGAGCAAAGCAAAGACAAAAAAAUUAGAUAAACCUUUACAGGAA
rnacentral:sRNA from 1 species